CACGUAGGGUGCGAGCGUUGUCCGGAAUUAUUGGGCGUAAAGAGCUCGUAGGCGGUGUGUCGCGUCGGCCGUGAAAACCUGCAGCUUAACUGUGGGCGUGCGGUCGAUACGGGCAUCACUGGAGUUCGGCAGGGGAGACUGGAAUUCCUGGUGUAGCGGUGAAAUGCGCAGAUAUCAGGAGGAACACCGGUGGCGAAGGCGGGUCUCUGGGCCGAUACUGACGCUCAUGUGCGAAAGCGUGGGGAGCAAACAGG
rnacentral:rRNA from 1 species